AUUGAACGCUGGCGGCAGGCUUAACACAUGCAAGUCGAGCGGUAGCACAGGGGAGCUUGCUCCCUGGGUGACGAGCGGCGGACGGGUGAGUAAUGUCUGGGAAACUGCCUGAUGGAGGGGGAUAACUACUGGAAACGGUAGCUAAUACCGCAUAACGUCGCAAGACCAAAGAGGGGGACCUUCGGGCCUCUUGCCAUCAGAUGUGCCCAGAUGGGAUUAGCUAGUAGGUGGGGUAAUGGCUCACCUAGGCGACGAUCCCUAGCUGGUCUGAGAGGAUGACCAGCCACACUGGAACUGAGACACGGUCCAGACUCCUACGGGAGGCAGCAGUGGGGAAUAUUGCACAAUGGGCGCAAGCCUGAUGCAGCCAUGCCGCGUGUGUGAAGAAGGCCUUCGGGUUGUAAAGCACUUUCAGCGAGGAGGAAGGUGGUGAGCUUAAUACGUUCAUCAAUUGACGUUACUCGCAGAAGAAGCACCGGCUAACUCCGU
rnacentral:rRNA from 1 species